rnacentral:lncRNA from 1 species
CAUAAAAUGAUGUUUUUUCAGCUUGGCAACUGGAAUUCUACCAUGUGUCAACAGAACUUGCAUUAAUAAGUUUUCAGCUGAGCCAAGUUCCUACAUGAAAAUAUCCUUCCUGGAAAUCAUUUAAUUUGCUGUUGCUUGUGCACUUAAGGAAG